rnacentral:rRNA from 1 species
AUUGAACGCUGGCGGCAGGCCUAACACAUGCAAGUCGAACGAGUGGCGGACGGGUGAGUAAUGUCUGGGAAACUGCCUGAUGGAGGGGGAUAACUACUGGAAACGGUAGCUAAUACCGCAUACCAUCGGAUGUGCCCAGAUGGGAUUAGCUAGUAGGUGGGGUAACGGCUCACCUAGGCGACGAUCCCUAGCUGGUCUGAGAGGAUGACCAGACACACUGGAACUGAGACACGGUCCAGACUCCUACGGGAGGCAGCAGUGGGGAAUAUUGCACAAUGGGCGCAAGCCUGAUCCAGCCAUGCCGCGUGUAUGAAGAAGGCCUUCGGGUUGUAAAGUACUUUAAGUGGGGAGGCGUUACCCGCAGAAGAAGCACCGGCUAACUACGUGCCAGCAGCCGCGGUAAUAC